rnacentral:rRNA from 1 species
AUUGAACGCUGGCGGCAGGCCUAACACAUGCAAGUCGAACGAGUGGCGGACGGGUGAGUAAUGUAUGGGCAACUUACUGAUGGCGGGGGAUAACUAAUGGAAACGGUAGCUAAUAACGCCUUCCAUCGGAUAUGCCAAGGUGGGAUUAGCUAGUAGGUGGGGUAAAGGCUCACCUAGGCACCGAACCCUAGCUGGUCUGAGAGGAUGACCAGCAAAACUGGAACUGAGACACGGUCCAGAAGCCUACGGGAGGCAGCAGUGGGGAAGAUUGCACAAUGGGCGCAAGCCGGAUGAAGCCAUGCCGCGUGUAUGAAGAAGGCCUUCGGGUUGUAAAGUACUUUAAGCGGGGAGGCGUUACCCGCAGAAGAAGCACCGGCUAACUCCGUGCCAGCAGCCGCGGUAAUAC